rnacentral:lncRNA from 1 species
AUGGGGACUCCUAUCAUAAGGAGGCCUAUUCUAGUUGAAAAGAUUGCUAGGACCCUUUGUACCGAACCUUAUAAUAGGCUGGGAUUACAGGUCGGCUAGAAUGAAGGCUAAGGAAUUUGCACUCCUGAAGCUUAAGGCCUAUGAUGUCUAAAGCUUUGUUUAUUUGGAUCCUGCCCGUGGGCUUGUAUCGAACGCUUGUAAUACUUUUAU